rnacentral:rRNA from 1 species
UACGAAGGGGGCUAGCGUUGUUCGGAAUUACUGGGCGUAAAGGGCGCGUAGGCGGUGUGUCAAGUCAGGCGUGAAAGCCCCGGGCUCAACCUGGGAACCGCGCUUGAGACUGGCACGCUCGAGUUCGGGAGAGGAUGGUGGAAUUCCCAGUGUAGAGGUGAAAUUCGUAGAUAUCGGGAAGAACACCCGUGGCGAAGGCGGUUCUCUGGGACGGUACUGACGCUGAGACGCGAAAGCGUGGGGAGCGAACAGG